CUCUGACUUGCCUCCACGCAGGCUGCCUGCCAAUAGAAACCCUUUCAGGAAAUCCAGCUGGCUAAUAAGGCUGGCACUUGGCACAAAAGGCUCUUCCUUUCAGCUGGCAUCUGAACGCCUGCCCCGCGUGGUUUCGGAAACAGCAGAGCAAUUGUCCUGCAUUGCACUGCGUGCUGGGAGCCCAGGGUGCUCGAAAACACCGACCCUGGCAGCAAAGAUCACAGUGCGAAGGGGCAAAACAGACUUGUGGAAAAAAGAUACUGGCAAAAAGAAUUUCAUUUUAAAGUGUAAGAGGAAGCAGGCACUUUAUUAGGCAAAGGCAACAGUUCAGAUAACAAUAGUGCUGAACUUCCCUGAGGAAGUGCUUUACAAGCCUUAGCACACUUCCUCAGUGCCCAGACUUUAAAAAGUCUGCUUUAAAAGCAGAACAGUAAAUCAGUAUCAUGCAUAAAGAUUAUCAAUGAAACACUCUGACAUAUCAUUUAACAAUAGCACUGCUUUCUCAUGAAAAUGAUUUUUUGAGCUGUCCCUAAACUUAUAGAAAUAGGUACUAAAAAGAGGAACUGACAUUUACUGUGAAAACAGUAAUUUACCUGAAAAUGGUGCAUGGUUCAAACAAAAGCCAUCUUCAAGUUAACAAAAAUAUCUAGCCAUAAACAUACAGGUGUCAGAUUAAUUUGGCAGUCCCAAUAUUUAAAAAUAAUACCUUAAUAGAAUACCAAUUAAAAUUAUGGGGUUUCUGCUUUACAGCAUGCGAUGUGUGAAGGACUCAAAAACCAGAAUCACUUUGUUCUGAAACGGCAAGUUCUUUGCUCCCACUACUUCCUUGGUGAAUAUUUACCUUUUAAAGAACUUGUAAGCUUUAACAACAACAACAAAUUCUUCCAUUCUGGCCUGGCUGUGCCUCAGCACACGGAAACGACCAGGAGCAAGGCCUGGCAGGACCACGUGCAGGCGCCACGAGGAGCGAGCGGCCCAGGCCUGCAGGCUGCGGCCUGUCCCCUCCAGCAGGGAGGCCGCUGGCAGAGUUCCUCAGCCCUCAACUGGCAUGAGGCAUGUGAGACCACAGCAUCCCCCCUGCCCAAGCACCCAGUCAGGGCCCAAGGCCCAUCUCUGCACCAGGGAAACGCUUAUUUGGUUUACGCAUUAACCCCUACUUGA
ensembl:lncRNA